AGAGUUUGAUCAUGGCUCAGAAUCAACGCUGGCGGCGUGCCUAACACAUGCAAGUCGAACGCGAAAGUCCCGCAAGGGAUUAGUAGAGUGGCAAACGGGUGAGUAACACGUGGGUGACCUGCCUUCGAGUGGGGGAUAACGUCCCGAAAGGGACGCUAAUACCGCAUGAUAUCCUGCCUUUGAAGAGGUGGAGCUUAAAGCCGGGGAUCGCAAGACCUGGCGCUUGAAGAGGGGCCCGCGCCUGAUUAGCUAGUUGGUGAGGUAACGGCUCACCAAGGCAUCGAUCAGUAUCCGGCCUGAGAGGGCGGACGGACACACUGGGACUGAGACACGGCCCAGACUCCUACGGGAGGCAGCAGUGGGGAAUUGUUCGCAAUGGGCGCAAGCCUGACGACGCAACGCCGCGUGGAGGAUGAAGAUCUUCGGGUCGUAAACUCCUUUCGAUCGAGACGAACGGCUUCCGGGUGAACAAUCCGGGAGAGUGACGGUACCGAGAGAAGAAGCCCCGGCUAACUCCGUGCCAGCAGCCGCGGUAAUACGGGGGGGGCAAGCGUUGUUCGGAAUUACUGGGCGUAAAGGGCUCGUAGGCGGCCAACUAAGUCAUACGUGAAAUCCCUCGGCUUAACCGGGGAACUGCGUCUGAUACUGGAUGGCUUGAGAUUGGGAGAGGGAUGCGGAAUUCCAGGUGUAGCGGUGAAAUGCGUAGAUAUCUGGAGGAACACCGGUGGCGAAGGCGGCAUCCUGGACCAACACUGACGCUGAGGAGCGAAAGCCAGGGGAGCAAACGGGAUUAGAUACCCCGGUAGUCC
rnacentral:rRNA from 1 species